UAACGACUUCCCCACUGUCUCCAGCAUCGACUCAGUGAAAUUGAAUUGCCCGUGAAGAUGCGGGCAACCCGCGGUUAGACGGAAAGACCCCGUGCACCUUUACUACAGCUUUGCAGUGGUAUUAGGAAAUAAAUGUGUAGGAUAGGCGGGAGCCUUUGAAGCAAUGUCGUCAGGCGUUGUGGAGGCACCCUUGAAAUACCGCCCUUGUAUUUUUUGAUAUCUAACCGUGGCCCGUUAUCCGGGUCCGGGACCCUGCAUGGUGG
rnacentral:rRNA from 1 species